AUUGAACGCUGGCGGAAUGCUUUACACAUGCAAGUCGAACGGCAGCACGGGGCAACCUGGUGGCGAGUGGCGAACGGGUGAGUAAUAUAUCGGAACGUGCCCAAUCGUGGGGGAUAACGUAGCGAAAGUUACGCUAAUACCGCAUACGAUCUACGGAUGAAAGCGGGGGAUCGCAAGACCUCGCGCGAAUGGAGCGGCCGAUAUCAGAUUAGGUAGUUGGUGGGGUAAAGGCUCACCAAGCCAACGAUCUGUAGCUGGUCUGAGAGGACGACCAGCCACACUGGAACUGAGACACGGUCCAGACUCCUACGGGAGGCAGCAGUGGGGAAUUUUGGACAAUGGGCGCAAGCCUGAUCCAGCCAUUCCGCGUGCAGGAUGAAGGCCUUCGGGUUGGUAAACUGCUUUUGUACGGUAACGAAACGGUACCUGGUUAAUACCUGGGGCGUAAUGACGGUACCGUAAGAAUAAGACACCGGCUAACUACGUAGCCAGCAGCCGCGGUAA
rnacentral:rRNA from 1 species